AAAUUGAAGAGUUUGAUCAUGGCUCAGAUUGAACGCUGGCGGCAGGCCUAACACAUGCAAGUCGAACGGUAGCACAGAGGAGCUUGCUCCUCGGGUGACGAGUGGCGGACGGGUGAGUAAUGUCUGGGAAACUGCCCGAUGGAGGGGGAUAACUACUGGAAACGGUAGCUAAUACCGCAUAACGUCGCAAGACCAAAGAGGGGGACCUUCGGGCCUCUUGCCAUCGGAUGUGCCCAGAUGGGAUUAGCUAGUAGGUGGGGUAACGGCUCACCUAGGCGACGAUCCCUAGCUGGUCUGAGAGGAUGACCAGCCACACUGGAACUGAGACACGGUCCAGACUCCUACGGGAGGCAGCAGUGGGGAAUAUUGCACAAUGGGCGCAAGCCUGAUGCAGCCAUGCCGCGUGUAUGAAGAAGGCCUUCGGGUUGUAAAGUACUUUCAGCGAGGAGGAAGGUGUUGUGGUUAAUAACCGCAGCAAUUGACGUUACUCGCAGAAGAAGCACCGGCUAACUCCGUGCCAGCAGCCGCGGUAAUACGGAGGGUGCAAGCGUUAAUCGGAAUUACUGGGCGUAAAGCGCACGCAGGCGGUCUGUCAAGUCGGAUGUGAAAUCCCCGGGCUCAACCUGGGAACUGCAUCCGAAACUGGCAGGCUAGAGUCUUGUAGAGGGGGGUAGAAUUCCAGGUGUAGCGGUGAAAUGCGUAGAGAUCUGGAGGAAUACCGGUGGCGAAGGCGGCCCCCUGGACAAAGACUGACGCUCAGGUGCGAAAGCGUGGGGAGCAAACAGGAUUAGAUACCCUGGUAGUCCACGCCGUAAACGAUGUCGACUUGGAGGUUGUGCCCUUGAGGCGUGGCUUCCGGAGCUAACGCGUUAAGUCGACCGCCUGGGGAGUACGGCCGCAAGGUUAAAACUCAAAUGAAUUGACGGGGGCCCGCACAAGCGGUGGAGCAUGUGGUUUAAUUCGAUGCAACGCGAAGAACCUUACCUACUCUUGACAUCCAGAGAACUUUCCAGAGAUGGAUUGGUGCCUUCGGGAACUCUGAGACAGGUGCUGCAUGGCUGUCGUCAGCUCGUGUUGUGAAAUGUUGGGUUAAGUCCCGCAACGAGCGCAACCCUUAUCCUUUGUUGCCAGCGGUCCGGCCGGGAACUCAAAGGAGACUGCCAGUGAUAAACUGGAGGAAGGUGGGGAUGACGUCAAGUCAUCAUGGCCCUUACGAGUAGGGCUACACACGUGCUACAAUGGCAUAUACAAAGAGAAGCGACCUCGCGAGAGCAAGCGGACCUCAUAAAGUAUGUCGUAGUCCGGAUUGGAGUCUGCAACUCGACUCCAUGAAGUCGGAAUCGCUAGUAAUCGUGGAUCAGAAUGCCACGGUGAAUACGUUCCCGGGCCUUGUACACACCGCCCGUCACACCAUGGGAGUGGGUUGCAAAAGAAGUAGGUAGCUUAACCUUCGGGAGGGCGCUUACCACUUUGUGAUUCAUGACUGGGGUGAAGUCGUAACAAGGUAACCGUAGGGGAACCUGCGGUUGGAUCACCUCCUUACCUUAAAGAA
rnacentral:rRNA from 1 species